rnacentral:rRNA from 1 species
GACAGCAGCCGCCGCGGUAAUGCGAGGGGUGCAAGCGUUAUUCGGAUUGAUUGGGUGUAAAGGGUGUGCAGACGGCUUAUUAAGUCACUUGUUAAAUUCUUCGGCCUAACUGAAGGCCUGCAAGUGAUACUGAUGAGCUAGAGGGUGGAAGAGAGAAGUGGAAUUCUCGGAGUAGCGGUAAAAUGCGUAGAUUUCGAGAGGAACACCAACGGCGAAGGCAGCUUCCUGGUCCAUUCCUGACGUUCAUACGCGAAAGCGUGGGGAGCAAACAGGAUUAGAUACCCGAGUAGUCCCUGUCUCUUAUAC